rnacentral:rRNA from 1 species
UACGGAGGGUGCAAGCGUUAUCCGGAUUCACUGGGUUUAAAGGGUGCGUAGGUGGGUUGGUAAGUCAGUGGUGAAAUCCCCGAGCUUAACUUGGGAACUGCCAUUGAUACUAUCAGUCUUGAAUACUGUGGAGGUCAGCGGAAUAUGUCAUGUAGCAGUGAAAUGCGUAGAUAUGACCCAGAACACCAAUUGCGAAGGCAGCUCGCUAAACCAUAACUGACGCUGAUGCACGAAAGCGUGGGGAGCAAACAGG